UUGAGCAGAUUUUUAUUUAACUGACAGCACAAUAAUUGGCACGCCUAUAAAUAGAAAAUUGAAUACUUCCUUUCAUGAACAAAUCCUGUUAAAUAUGUGGACUAUCACCUUCUUCAAAUAACACCUGAUUCAAAUUUACUUUCAACAAUUGAAUAAUCUAAUCGAUGAAAAAUUCGUAUCCACAUAGUGACAUACAUUCGUAUACAUAUAUCCUUAAAAGAUUUAAGAAAUAUAUGAUAAUACUGAACCUUAUCGUUGAACCUUUUAACAAACAAACAAAAAUGGCAUGCUAACAUCGCGCUGUCAUGAUAUAAUACUGAUUGUGCAGGUACAUAUAAAAUAUUUUAAAAAAAGAUUAAAAAAAAAAAACAAUAACAAUUACAAGUGUCGGACAUUCGACAAAAAUAAUAUAAUACUUUGAUUUCAACACACAGUUCAACUUCAUACUGAGUCAGUAAAAAGUGACGAAAAAAAAAUAACUAUCACAGAUGGAAUUUUCAAAACAUUAUCAUAAUAAUAUUAUCAACAACGACAAACAUGAGAAAAAUUUAAUGGACUUUAACCUUAAAAAUGAGGAAUCAUUAAAAUCAUUUCUUAUAUGUAAUUGUGAAUUUUUCUCAUAAUGUGCUCAAACGAAUGAAAAAUGUAAGUGGCAUACCAUACAUUCAUUGGUGUGAUCAUGAAAGUUUAACAUUGACUUUUCACUUCCAUUGUGA
rnacentral:lncRNA from 1 species